ensembl:lncRNA
AUGAUCUGCCCACCUUGGCCUUCCAAAGUGCUGAGAUUACAGGCAGGAACCACUACGCCCAGCCUGCCUGCUUCCUUUGACUCCAAGGCAUUGUGGGAGCCACCAGAUACAGGGCUGCUGAGAGGAACUACACUGCCCAGUGCUGAAGCACCUCCCAGUUUAGAGGGGAAGAUACUCCUCUGCUUCCCAUGCCAGGUGAUAAGACUGAGGGGAGGGAUUGGGAUCAGCCAAGGGGAGACUGGAUCUAUCAGGUGGAGGACUGAGCAAAUCGGCCCAGAUGAGUGGACAUCUGGGCAAAGGGGACGUUCCAGGAGAAGAUGCAUUGGCAAAGACACAGGUAGCUGUGAGAGGUCAGCAGAGGAUGAGUGGAUUUUACCUUGAAACAGGACUAAGGCUGGUCCGAGAGUACGCUUGUGCACUAAGCAUGUGAAUUUUAUUCAGAGGACAGAGGAGAAGAAGGGUUGAAACAGGAGGGUUCACUUCCAUUCCAAAUCCCAUUCUCUGGAAACAUGAGCAUCACCCUCUGUCUGUCCCAGUUUUCCAGGCAGCCCAGCACUAAGGCGUGCCCAUGAAGUUAGGGAGUGAAUGAACACAGAACCACGUCGCAGGCCGAAAGUGGGGAGUAGGUCCCCCAGCCCUGGCCCUGGGCUAUUGACUGAAUCUUUCUGCUCUUAACCUGGUGGUUGGUGGACUUCAUGGCGAAGUCCCUGGAAUUUACGCGUACCCCCACAAUUUAAUCACCACCAGCACAAAUGAGGAAUGACUCUAUAAACACUGCAAUUUAUAGACCUUCUGUGCCUAUAGGUCACCUGUGAUGCAAUAACUGGUACCGUUCCUGGAGGAGAGUGUGGCUUCAUUUUAUUGGUCCUGCAUGAAAUUUAUACUCCUCUCUACCUGCAGCAAGACAGGUUUACUUCUAAGCAUCUCUUGCUAUUGUAACUUAUUUGUUCCAUUUCUAAGGGAUGUGAGUUGUGUGUGUAAGUUGUAUGUGUGAGUGUAUGUGUGUGUCUGAGGGACUAGACUGAACCUGGAAAGCGGUUCUCAGAUCCAUUCACUGAAAGUUUGUUGUAUUUCUCAUCCAGUGACUUAAGACUGCCCUGUCUUCUAGACUGUCCCUGCUACCUGCCGUCAUUGUGGUUGACCCAGGCGGACUUGCAAUUGCAAAUUAAAUGAGAUAGGCCAAAAUUUAUUUUCAAUUUUUAUCUAUUCUUAGUUUUUUUCCUCCCU